rnacentral:rRNA from 1 species
UACGUAGGGGGCAAGCGUUGUCCGGAUUUAUUGGGCGUAAAGAGCGUGUAGGCGGCCAGACAGGUCCGGUGUGAAAACUAGAGGCUUAACCUCUAGACGUCGAUGGAAACCGUCUGGCUAGAGUCCGGAAGAGGAGAAUGGAAUUCCUGGUGUAGCGGUGAAAUGCGCAGAUAUCAGGAAGAACACCCGUGGCUAAGGCGGUUCUCUAGUACGGUACUGACGCUGAGACGCGAAAGCGUGGGUAGCGAACAGG